rnacentral:rRNA from 1 species
GAUGAACGCUGGCGGCGUGCCUAAUACAUGCAAGUCGAGCGAACGGACGAGGAGCUUGCUCCUCUGACGUUAGCGGCGGACGGGUGAGUAACACGUGGAUAACCUACCUAUAAGACUGGGAUAACUUCGGGAAACCGGAGCUAAUACCGGAUAAUAUUUUGAACCGCAUGGUUCAAUAGUGAAAAACGGUCUUGCUGUCACUUAUAGAUGGAUCCGCGCUGCAUUAGCUAGUUGGUAAGGUAACGGCUUACCAAGGCAACGAUGCAUAGCCGACCUGAGAGGGUGAUCGGCCACACUGGAACUGAGACACGGUCCAGACUCCUACGGGAGGCAGCAGUAGGGAAUCUUCCGCAAUGGGCGAAAGCCUGACGGAGCAACGCCGCGUGAGUGAUGAAGGUCUUCGGAUCGUAAAACUCUGUUAUUAGGGAAGAACAAAUGUGUAAGUAACUGUGCACGUCUUGACGGUACCUAAUCAGAAAGCCACGGCUAACUACGUG